GACGAACGCUGGCGGCGUGCUUAACACAUGCAAGUCGAACGCAAAGGCGCUGCUCUUGCGGGGUGCUCGAGUGUCGAAAGGGUGAGUAUCACGCGAGGAACAUGUCCUUGACUUUGGGAGAACUCUAGGAAACUGGGUCUAAUACCGGAUAUGAGAUCCUGUUGCACGGUGGGGGUUGGAAAGAUUCGGCGGUUGGGGAUGAAAACGCGGAUUAUCAGCUUGUUGGUGGGGUAGUGGAGUACAAAGGCAUUGACGGGUCGCCGGCCUGAGAGGGUGACCGGCCACAUUGUGCCUGAGAUGCGGGCCAGACGCCUACGGGGGGCAUCAGUGGGAAAUAGUGCACGAUGGGCGGAAGGAUGAUGCAGCAACUCCGGGUGCGAGAUGACGGCCUUCGGGUUAUAAACGGCGUUCGCGUGGGACGAGGCGUGUGUGACGGUAGUGGAUAAGAAAGCACCGGCUAACUACGUG
rnacentral:rRNA from 1 species